UUUGUUGGCCUACCUGGAUCUCUGGCGUAUCAGGGAGCGUGCUUGGAAUCAGAGGACCGAUUUGCAUGAAUUUUAAUCCAAAGCAGAAUGGUUUUCCGGGGAGAAUUUAGGAGAAGGAUUUGGGACCGUGGUCACUUGACAACUCUAUUCAUUGAUUCAUUCAUGCGUUCCUUUUUUCACUCAUUCAUUUAUUCCACGAACAUUUAUUGAAUGUUUAUUUUGGUGGCAGUGGGCAGGAGUGCUGUAGCAACCGCAUUUGAGAACAGCACUUGAAAGGGAGCUUAAGAAUCUUCUUGACCAAACACCUACCCCAUUCAGCAAUGUUUCCUAAAACUGGAGAGAUGGUUUAGGGCUCAGGUUUCCAGGUCAGUGAUAAGGCAGGAAUGAAUGAUAUAGCCCAAACCCGUAGGAGAAACUCCUCUACCUGGCGGGAGAAUGGGUUUAAAACAAGGGCAGAGAUUGGUCAGGAAGCUCUCUUUUCCGACAGCUGGCUAAACAGUGCAGUCACUUGAUCAGGUGGUGAGAUUUGAAUGCAAUAAAACAAGCGUCAAGAAAACCCGAUUAGAUAAGCCCCAAGUACUCGCACAGUCCUUACACUAUGAUAACCUCCCACUAAAAUGUCACGUACAGGCUGUGUGUGAUGGGAAACUCUGCUGACUUGGAAUUGGAAAGCCAGGCAGGAGUCGUCGAACCUGCAUUUUGACCUCCGGAGUCUGAUGCCCAGUGGAGGCUUCGGGGAUCUAGAAGCUGUUACUCCAGAGCCUUGCCCGGCCUUGGCCAAGUGGAAAGGACAUCUUCUCCUCUGUUAACUCAACAUCUUCAGGAAUGGCAGCGGCCACUGGAGCUCUCUCAUUCAGACACAAGCUCCCGUGAAAGCAAAGAGAAGGCAGUUUCGCUGCAGGGCACCCCACAGCUGUGCUUUCUAGUAUUUGCCCAAAUGGCUUCCUCCAGUAACAGCGAUCACCAAAGCUCUCUGUGUUGAGUAAGUAAGCUUCAUUUUAACCACGCCUGGCUCUGAGUGUUGUAGCCCUCUAAGUUAUUCUAGAACAGUACCCACACAUGCGUUUCUCAACCCAGACACCCUGAUAUGGGAGGGUGCCCUCACCAGCAUGGAUCGCUGGCAGUUUGGUUGGGAAGGACGAGGCAGUUGUUCAGGGAGGGCUGGAGGUGCAACCUGUCAUGCCGUUUAAAA